UUGAUUGAAAAGGAAUAGGAUCAACUGGAUACUGAUAAGAACAAAACUGGCUAAACAUAAAAGUUUAAUUCAUGAAAAACUGUUCAUAAAUAAAUGGCACCACUUGGAUGCAAAACCUAAAUGUUGGCAGAAAGAGGCGGGGGGGGGGGGGGGGGGGGGGGGGGGGGGAUACCUGGUGGAAAGAAUGAGGGAAACCUUCCACCAUCCAUAACUUCAUGGUGCAUUUGCCCCCUAUCAUGAAAGUGGCGCCAUCUAUCAUCGAAGUGAUGCAUUCCAUCAUCGAAGUAAUGCCCUCCACCAUCAAAGCGACGCCCCCUAUCAUCAAAGUGAUGUCCUCUAUCAUCAAAGUAAGGUCUUCUAUCAUAUCCAUGGUGUCCUCUAUCAUGUCCACCAUACUGAUAUCUCUCAGGAUAGGAAUGGGCCGGAGGGCCGCAAUUCCAAGGCUGUGCUCUCUGCUCUGGUUC
rnacentral:lncRNA from 1 species